GCGCCAGCUGCAGUGGAGGAGGCAUGGUUGGGGCUGCACCUCCCCAGAGCUGGCAGGAACUGGGAACAGG
rnacentral:pre_miRNA from 1 species